CCUCUCCUUCGGGAGAACGGAAGGACGCCUGCGGCCUAUGUCUUAGCUGGAGCAGAUGGGAUCUAGUUCCCCAACCAAGGAUUGAACUCGAGCCCUUUGCAUAGCCAUUGGACCACCAGGGAAGUCCCAAAGCUAAGCUUUUUGAUCACUUACUACACGUCAGGCACCUUGCUAGGUAAUUUAUGCCUAUUAUUACAUUUAAUUUUCUUAAUAAACUAUAAAGUUAUGA